ensembl:lncRNA
GAGUUCGCGUUCGUCUACGUGUACGCGCGGCCAUGUGUGCACUUAUUGGUGUUUGUGUCUGAAGCAGAAACCCCCUCAUCCAAUGCUGUUUCUUUGAGUGACACAGUAAGCGACUUUUACAUACGCGCACUGUAUAAACAUGUGAUGACGGUCGAGCUUAAACUGUUGCUUUUUCAUCCGAUGCCGAAGUUUGAUAUGUUGCAUCUUCAACUCAAACUAAAGUUGUGUCCAACAUGUCUCACUACACAACGCUGCAAUGUCCCAAAGUUAUAAAACUAUUGGAAUUAACACACUGUCAGAGCCUCUGUGUGUGUGUGUGUGUGUGUGUGUGUGUGCGCGCGCGCAUAUGUGCGUGCCUGCUAGUGCGCGCUCUGGCCUGUGUCUAGUGUGCGCGCGCAUUCGUGUGUGGUUGUGUGAGAGUGGGAGAGAAAGGCAGGCACACACACAGGGAGGGGGAGAGAGCGUGAGAGAGAAAGGAGCAGCUCUGUGUGUGUGUGUGUGUGUGUGUGUGUGUGUGUGUGUGUGUGUGUACGUGUGUACGUGUGUACGUGUGGAUGGGAGGGGGAGAGAGUGUGUGCGUGACAGAGACAGACACUGUGUGUGUGUGUGUGUGUGUGUGUGUGUGUGUGUGUGUGUGUGAGAGAGCGAUGGGGAGUGGGAGGGGGAGCACAGUGUGUAAGAAGUGUGUGACAAAGAGAGCGAGUGUGUGUGUGUGUGUGUGUGUGUGUGUGUGUGUGUGUCCAUGUAGUAUUGAGUGAGUGAGUGUGUGUGGUUGGUGAGUUUGUGUGGUUGAGAGAAUGAGUAAGUGUGUGUGUUUGUGUGUGUGUGCGUGUGUUGGGAAGACAGGGUGUGUUUGAGAGAAGGGAAAAUGUGUUUUCUACAGUGUGUGUCUGCACUUGUAUGUGUGUGAAAGAGAAACUAAUAAUGUGCAUGUGGAAAAAGAGAACGGGGAAUAAAGGUGUUUGCUGUAAGAGAGAGAGAGAGAGAGAGAGGUACUGUGAAGGACGUGUGUGUGUACGUGAGAAGGAGCAUAUAAAAAGUGUGUGUGUGUGUGUGUGUGUGUGUGUGUGUGUGUGUGUGUGUGUGUGUGUGUGUGUGUGUGUGUGUGUGUGUGUGAGAGAGAGAGAGACACAGAUAGAGGGGAAGGAAUGUGUUUGUUUGUGUGUGUGUGUGUGUGUCUGUCUGUGUGCAUGCGUGUGCACGCAAAGGAGAGAGAGAAACCGUGUUUAUGUGUAACCAAGUAGUGUGGUGGUUCAGUGUGUGUUAAAGGGGAUGGUAAUCAAAUGUGUGAUGGGUAAAGAGAGAGAGAUUGUGUGGGAUUUGGUUGUGUUAAUUAAUUAUAUCUAUACGUGUGUGUGUGUGUGUGUAUACAUGUGUAUGUCAGUGCGUGUAUUUAAGUCAUAAAAUGACAUGUCUGGCGUGACGGAGAUGAUGCUGUAGAAACAAUGCAGAAAGUGGUGAGGGAAGGGUGCGUGUCUGUCUUUAAGAAACUGAGAGACGUGUGUGUGUGUGUGUGUGUGAGGGGGGGGGGUUGUGACGAACACAGUAGGGGAGGUUGUGUGUGUGUGUGUGUGU